rnacentral:rRNA from 1 species
GAUGAACGCUGGCUACAGGCUUAACACAUGCAGUCGUGGGGAAACGGCAUUAUGUGCUUGCACAUUCUGGACGUCGACCGGCGCACGGGUGAGUAUCGCGUAUCCAACCUGCCCCUUACUUGGGGAUACCCCGUCGAAAGACGGCCUAAUACCCGAUGUGUUUCAUUGACGGCAUCCGAUAUGAAACAAAGGUUUUCCGGUAAGGGAUGGGGAUGCGUCUGAUUAGCUUGUUGGCGGGGCAACGGCCCACCAAGGCGACGAUCAGUAGGGGUUCUGAGAGGAAGGUCCCCCACAUUGGAACUGAGACACGGUCCAAACUCCUACGGGAGGCAGCAGUGAGGAAUAUUGGUCAAUGGACGCAAGUCUGAACCAGCCAAGUAGCGUGCAGGAUGACGGCCCUAUGGGUUGUAAACUGCUUUUAUGUGGGAAUAAAGUGGCGCACGUGUGCGCCAUUGCAUGUACCUCAUGAAUAA